rnacentral:rRNA from 1 species
UGAGGGAAUAUUGGGUCAAUGGACGCAAGUCUGAACCAGCCAAGUAGCGUGCAGGAUGACGGCCCUAUGGGUUGUAAACUGCUUUUAUGCGGGGAUAAAGUUUGGGACGUGUCCCAUUUUGUAGGUACCGCAUGAAUAAGGACCGGCUAAUUCCGUGCCAGCAGCCGCGGUAAUACGGAAGGUCCGGGCGUUAUCCGGAUUUAUUGGGUUUAAAGGGAGCGUAGGCCGUCUUAUAAGCGUGUUGUGAAAUGUCGGGGCUCAACCUGGGCAUUGCAGCGCGAACUGUGAGACUUGAGUGCGCAGGAAGUAGGCGGAAUUCGUCGUGUAGCGGUGAAAUGCUUAGAUAUCACGAAGAACUCCGAUUGCGAAGGCAGCUCACUGGAGCGC